AAUUUGGGACUGGAAUGAAAGGUUNGACUGUGCAAUUUUGUCUUAUAAUAAUAUUUUGAAAUUUAUGUUUUAGUAAAAAAGCUAAAAUUUUUCUUAAAGACGAGAAGACCCUAUCAAGCUUUACAAUUUUAGUUUAUUUUCAAAUUAAGUAAAUAAUUGUUUUGCUGGGGCAGCAGAUAAAAAAUUUUUAUUUUUAUAUUGUGAUUAAUAAAUCUUGAUAAACCAAAAAAUUUUUAAAAAAGAAUAAGUUACUGUAGGGAUAACAGCAUAAUUUUUUUAAAGAGUUCUUAUCAUCAAAAAAGUUUGUGACCUCGAUGUUGGAUUAAGAGACCUAAUUCGUGCAAUAAUAAAAUAAGGAA
rnacentral:rRNA from 1 species